GAGAAAUUACUGGAAUGUGUUUAAAAAUAGGUUUUGACAAAUCUGUAAGCUGCAUUACAUGUUAUGCUAUUAUUUCCUCUUGCAGGACCACUGUGUCACAUCUGUCGCCUGUGUACAAAACCUGAUGUUCUGCCUCACUAUUAUUAGUGUCUAAUCACAAUUUUAGGCUCUUGUACUUGCUCUCACAGUACAAUAAAUCCCUUUAUACAAGCACAUCUGCUAAACACCCAAAAUAAAAAAUGUAUCUCUGCAUAAUUUAUCACAGGUGGAGGUCAGGCAACCAGCACCUUUGUGGUAACAGGCAUGGAACCAUCUACAGGAAAGAGAAGAUGAUGUGAUUGUUUGUGCACCUGUGGUAGAAGGCAGCUCCGGUCAGGACGAUGGAGUAGUCAUUGGUCCAUUUAGAGGUGUAGCCCCAGGCGCGCUUCAGGGGAUCCCAGAAGUGGCUCCUGGGAGGGUAGCCUACGAUCCGCUCUGGGAAGCUCCGCCACACCAAGAAGGCAAAGUUCACCUACAAGUGCAGACAUGAAACGCUUAGAUGUUGCUGCUACUCUUUCAAGAAUAUUGAUUUUUAUGUGUGUGCACAUCUGCUGUGUGUUUAUUACUAACACACUGACACAUACCUCACUGGUCAACAAGACUGUAUCCUCGUCCAGACUCAGCACUGCUUCUGUCUCUAUGGCAACGUGAGGUAGGAACCGACUGGUGGUCUGAGAAAGAAAUACAGUAAUAAAUCUUAGAUCUGGUACUGUAGGCUAUGUGUUGUCUGGCAUGUGCUUUGAGAGAUUAUGAGAAUGAGAGAUGAUCAUGUUACAGUAAAUCAUGUUGAGUGACUGAGACGAGUGAGAAUCACUAUAGAUUUUGCCUUGGGAGGGGGGAAAAAAAAGACAGGUAAAAGGGAGAUGAAAGGGAGAAGAAACAUUGAGGAUGAGUGACAUUUAUGAAAGCAAACGUCACACGGAUCGGUGGACAUAUCAGAUGUACAUGGACAGGAAGAAGAGACGCAGAGAAAAUAGACAUCAAGGGCAAGGACCAGUGAAAUGGAGUAACAGAGAAACUGAAAGACAGACACAUAAACAAACUGAGCGAGUGACGGUCUUUCAUGCUGUCACUCAGACGUCACAGAGGGCUUCAGUGUGAGCUGUGAGUGGCGUUGGCCCUCACCUUCCUCCUGCCGUCUGUCACAGUAAGAGGGACGGGCAUGGGAGGCCAUUUGCUCCGGCUGGGUGGCGGCUUCUCACUGUUCCAGAGAAUGAUGAUCUGCAGCAGCAGGGGGAAGGGAAUUUUACACAACACAUACACAGAUAGACGCAUUAGAUUGAUCGGCAAUAACUGCUGACAUCAAUCAACCAGAAGGGGUGGCAUCUAAAUAUCAUGUUAAGCUCUUUGCUGAAGCUUUAGUACUUAGUGUGGAAGACAGCAUGUGUGUUAUAUUUAUUUUUAUCAUAAUAAUUUUUCAUAUGUCUUGUUUACCUGCGAGCAGUACUUUGACUUGGAGACCACCUGGAGCAGCUUCAUGAUUGGCUGAGACUGGGAGACCAAAGGGGAGACAGCAUGUAUGACAGCUGUGAACUCCUGACCUGGACUGACCCCUGAAUGAGAUCACAAAAGAAUAAUGCGAGAGAGGUAUCCACGCAGCAGCAACUCCAACAUCCCCUCUGAAGCCCUCUGCCUCACUGACCUCAGGCUGACUGCACAGCUGGCUCCCAUGGGGAGAGGUUCCCCUCUGCAUGCUGGGCAGCCCGGGAGCUUGGUUUGGAGAGGCCCUUUAACCGAUGGCACAACGGACGCAAGUGGAACUCCAGCCACUCUCCAACACUGUGUGUGUGUGUGCGUGGAGAACAGAGGCAAAAAGACUGGCAAAAUUCUGUUCAAUUUCUGCUUUAU